rnacentral:rRNA from 1 species
UACGAAGGUGGCAAGCGUUGUUCGGAAUUAUUGGGCGUAAAGCGUACGUAGGCGGGCUUGUAAGUCGAUUGUGAAAGCCCUGGGCUCAACCCGGGAAUUGCAGUCGAAACUGCUAGUCUUGAAUGCUCGAGAGGAUGGUGGAAUUCCAGGAGUAGUAGUGAAAUACGUAGAUAUUGGGAGGAACACCAGUGGCGAAGGCGGCUCACUGGACCGGUUCUGACGCUGAGGCGCGAAAGCGUGGGGAGCAAACGGG